AGUACUUGCUAUUUUUCUCAUUCGAUAGCAGCAUGAGCUCAGAUUUGUGUUCCAGCUGAUUAAAUUCUCUUUCAGACGUGUGAGAAUGUGCUUUAAUGGAAAUGGUUUGGAAUAAAAGGCGGUGUUUUGUUGCAGACAGUUGUGCUGCGGUUUGGCGUGGAGUUCACAGCGUUGACGGAGGCCCAGGGGAAGAGCUCUAUUCACAGUGAAGCGAGAUGGACACUGUUGUGCUGGAUGAGGGAACAGCGGGAGGACUGAACUCAGAAGCUGUGUGAAUGGUUGCCAGGCCAAAGUUUAGUGCUGGUGUGUUGCAGAAUGAAUAUGAGUGUUGGGUCUCACUCGAAAUCUCUGCCGCAGGGAUAAUCCAAAGCAACACGUAUGCAAAACCCUCCUGAAAUCUCUGAAAAAAUCUAUACAGGAGUGCAGAUUUGGUUCAAGGAAAUCACACACACACAUUGAACCAUCGGCUGCUGUUUAUCAAUCCUCAGUGCUGCAGGUCUGACAGCAGCUACACCUCUCUCUCGAGCUGUCAGCUCUAACACACCACACCAUCUGAUGGAGAGAGGAAAACAGGUGAAGAAGGAACAGGAGGAAGAUAACAUAGUCAGAUAGCAUGCUAAAGGUCAGCAUUGCUGGUGUUGCUUGACAUUGUAGGUGUCUGGUAUCUCAACAUUAUUCUAUCAGCUGUUUUUGCUAGAGUUCAUUCCUCCAGUGUUUUGACGUAACCCAGAGGAAAAUUCAGUUGCCCUGAGGUUGUUUUCACACAGAUAGCUCAGUUAUGAACUAUAUUUGCUGUUUGCUGAAAAUUGUUCACUUUGCUCGUAAAUCUCAUUUCUGUAUAGAUUGAUGUUGAUGUAUAGACAUCAACAGCAAAACAUUAUUGGAUCUAGUGUAUCAUAGAAAAGAUUUGAUAAUGAAAUGAUUUUUAUUAUCAACUUUGUCUCAGAUGUUUCUUCAAAAAAAAAAAGAAGAAGAAAAUAAGACAUAAGUAGAAUUUUAAUACUGAUGAAUGAAAAAAUGAAAAAAACUGUAAAUGUUAAAAUUGUAAUAAUAUAUGAAUAUAUUAUAAAUAUAUUUCAG
ensembl:lncRNA